CCCAGCGAUAUAGAGAAGAGUUUCCGCGGUAAGGAUGAUAAACUUUAUCUUUUUCAGAUGUAUUUUUUAUUUUGUUUGUUAGAUGUAAAUUAUGGGCUAACAUAGAUUGUACUCGUGCUAUAAGAGCUAAGAUUAGAGAUAAACACGAAAGACAGAGUUGGGUUAUUAUCUGACGCUAUGCAGUCAAUAGCGUGCUAUAGCGGUGUUAAUUCUUGCAAGGCAGGUAACUUCAGACAUCACGUGCAUGUUAAUUCUUACUGUUUUUAAUAGUUAUAUGAUUUCUAGCCUUUAAUGGAUGUUUAAACAGGUCACAUAGCUGAUCUAAAUAAACACUACAAAUCCAUGUUGUUUGAUUUUCUUAACGGGUCAGACUAUUAGUUGGAUUCUUGGUUAGCUUGCAGGUGACAUUUCGUAGGUCAGGUCGCCACAAGCAUUUGUAACUUCACUUAACCAUUUAAUCUUUUCAGUUUAAUGCUUUCUUUGUAAAAAGCUCAAAUUCAAAACCGUUAGGGCAGUGGACCAGGCCAACUGAGAGCUAGGGGAGUGUUUGUUCAUUUCUUUUUCCCUUUUAUGUCAAUGUGGUUAACCAUUUUAUAUUACUGAUCCAAAUAAGCGAUGAAGUUCAAUCAGAAACGACAUCGUACUUUUAUGAAAUUAGUGAAGACGUGUCAGCCAUUGCAGGUUAUGGCGCGCGCGAAGUUGAAUCAGAAACGACGACGUAUUUUGUGAAAUUGGUGUAGAGUUUAUUUCAAACAGAUGGAUGGAUCUGGUUAUCGUCAUGUUUGUCCUGGGCCGAGAUGAUCGUGCAACUUGGGCAAAUGAAGUUGGUGAUAGCCGGAGAACCACAUGAGAUAUUUCUAAUAAUUGGGAAACUUUUUAUCAUACAAGAACUCAAAAAACUGUUAAAACUCAUUAAACCACAUGCUGAUGAGAGUAACCAACAGGCAAAGACGUUGCGGAUCUUCGACGAAUAGUGCACGGUGGCUACUGGUAGUGAAUCGUCGAAGGAAGAAGGUGAUGUCGUGUGGUUUUUGGUUGUUGGAACGGUAGGUUGAGAGGUUCAAUUCGUUUUUUUUUUUGUUGACAAAGAGGAAGACUAUAUUAUCAAAAGUUGAAGGUAUCAGAUUAAUUUUUGAGUUUUCAGUUCUGUUAGUUAUACAUCUGUUCAACUAUGUUAUUUGUGUUAGUAUAUUGAGUUCCUUAUCAUCGUUCAUCUCUCCAACGUAAUUCCUUAAAUCUGCUUCUAUUUGUAUGUGUUUCUUUGAAUCGUAUCUAUGUCUUUGGGUAUGAACUACUGCUAUAUGAAUUGCAGUUUGACCAUGUAAGCUAAACCUAUGAUGUCCGAUUAUCAUAUAUGCGAUUAAGAUAAAGCACAACCCACUUCCAUAAACGGGUUGAAAUUAUCACCCCUCUGAUUUUGUAAUAAUUACUAAUGUUACUUUUUUAUUCUUCUAAAAGGAAAAAGACCCGGGGAUAAAGUGUUUUCUUGUAGACCUACCUGGUUCCGGUUUGUUUAACAAGGUUAUAAGGGAGUGAUGUACACAAAAGAAGAGGCUGAAGGAAAGAGAUUAAAGAAUCCAUUUAAUACUAUAACCGAAGGAAUUGGGAUUAAUAGAUAAAUAGAAAAUUUUAAAAUGGCUCAACUUGAUGGAGCUUUUAAAGGUGCUAGAAAAUUUUAAAAUGGCUCAACUUGAUGGAGCUUUUAAAGGUACUGAUAUUGAAGCUGUCGAAAUGUCUAGAUUCCUGUUGAAGACUGCUGGGUUUUUAUUGGAAGCUCUUCAGCAACGAACUGUGGUGGAACAGUGAGACUAGCGAGAUUAUUGGGCCCGGGUCAUACUAUUGUAGUAAUUUUGUGUGAUAGUGGGAUGAGGCAUUUAAGCAAGUUCUGUAAUCCCGAGUACCUUUCUCAACACAGUUUAACACCUUCAGCUAAAGCGUUACAAUUCCUUGAUUGUAGAUGAUAUCAUUUUUCAUAUACGUGACGUUUUGUAUCACGCACGGGGCAGUAUUGAGUUUCAAACAUUUGUCUGCGAUGAUUGGAUCGACAGUUUUUACAAGGGAAUGCAUUCCUACUUAGAUGGUUACAUAUAUUGUCUGUUAUUUAUGAGGUUUCUUUAAGUAUUCUAUUUUUGACACUAAGGUCACUCGUGGGCAUGUAUAUUGAAACGGUUUUUUAGGUCAUCUAAGUAUGUGCUAGGUUCUC